rnacentral:lncRNA from 1 species
CUCUCUCCACUGAUAACGUUUUUCGAAAAUAAAAACUCCACACGUUACCUCACCUUCACUCACUCAUAUAUCACUCUCCACUCAGCAACGCUCUCUCAGCGAAAAGCAAAAAAAAAAAUACAAAAGAAAAAGGAUAAACAAAAAGGAAAAGAAGGAGAAGGUUCUCUGCAUUGUUCAUGGUCUUCUCCAACGUUUUCGGCAACAAACCUCUUCACUCUCCACCGCCAUUAACGUC